rnacentral:lncRNA from 1 species
UGCAGCUGCAGUAUGAGGGUGUGGCUGUCAUGAAACUCUUUAACAAAGCCAAAGUCAACGUCAAUCUCCUCAUCUUCCUGCUCAACAAGAAGUUCCUUCGGAAGUGACGGAAGUGACGGGGCAGCCUCUCAACUGACUGGCUGCUGUGCUUCUCCAUUAACCAGCUCUGGUCCCCGCUGACCAGAGCUCAGGUCACAGUGCUUGACCCUCCCACCCAAGAGGAAUUGUCCUACUUGACUGAAGUGGGCCAUGCGUCCCGGUCCAGCUAGGUGGCUUUUACCACAUCCCUGUGAACCAGCAACCUGCACUCAGUCCUGGAGAGGACCAUGGUUUUGUGUCACUAUUGCUUUCGCGUGGUCACCACCGUGUCUGCCAGUACUUCUAGCACUGCCCAGCAGCCUUAUCUCCCUUCCUUUUCACAGACUUCCAAAGCCAGGGCCAGACUGUCUGUCCCUCCUCCCCUUCAUAAGCCAUGGGCGUUGCUGUCCCCUACAGCCCAAGUCCCCCCCAUGCUGUGCCCCCCAGCAACCUCUUACCCCUCAUCACAUCCCAGUAUCUGACUUGGGUGCAGCAUUUGCUGAUGUCCAUGAUGGCUAUGCACACCUCGAAUCUCCUUUCUCCAUUUGUGCUGUUUCUUAUGUGGGUCACCAGAGUAUUUAUUCUAACCUGAUUGUUGUGUGGUCUUAAUCAUGAUUUUAAUUCUCACUUUCUGAACUCAGAGAGUUCUCAUUCCUCCACUGGAACUACUGCACAUUCCACUGUCUCCCUUUAGCUAGAGUCAAGUCUCUUGGGGUCCGAGCAGGGAGGCCCCAGCUGAAGAACUCCUUACCUCAGCUCACUUCAGGACAAAGAGCAGUCUUGCCAUCUUCUUGUCACCUCAACUGACUUCCAGGUGGUUCCCAUAGAUCUGCCUUGGCCACUCUCUGUCCACCCCACAUCUUCCAUCUCCCUGCCUCGCCACCCUCUAGAUUUCCUAUUAAUAAAAUGUCAUUUCCUAUGUUAA